GAUGAACGCUGGCGGCGUGCCUAAUACAUGCAAGUCGAGCGGAAGUUGGAGAGCUUGCUCUUCAACUUUAGCGGCGGACGGGUGAGUAACACGUGGGCAACCUGCCCUGCAGAUCGGGAUAACUCCGGGAAACCGGUGCUAAUACCGAAUAGUUUUCGCCACCUCCUGGUGGCGUACGGAAAGACGGUUUCGGCUGUCACUACAGGAUGGGCCCGCGGCGCAUUAGCUAGUUGGGGGGGUAACGGCCCACCAAGGCGACGAUGCGUAGCCGACCUGAGAGGGUUAUCAGACACACUGGGACUGAGACACGGCCUAGACUGCUACGGGAGGCAGCAGUAGAGAAUCUGCCGCAAUGGACGAAAGUCUGACGGAGCAACGCCGCGUGAGUGACGAAGGUUUUCGGAGCGUAAAACUCUGUUGUGAGGGAAGAACAAGUACCAACUAACUACUGGUACCUUGACGGUACCUCACCAGAAAGCCACGGCUAACUACGUGCCAGCCGCCGCCGUAA
rnacentral:rRNA from 1 species